AGGGUGUUGCUGCCUUUUACAAGGUAUGCUUCUGUUAGUUAAAGUGAAUUUUGAAAGUUGAUGUUACGAACUUUUGAUCUGGUUGAAUGACUAAAUUUAGAUUUUGCCGUUAUAAGAUAUGUGUUAAAAGGCUUGUUUUUUGUCGAUGCUUGAUUUGGGUUUGUGUAUGUUUCUUGUGGAAAGUUUGAACUUGCCAAUACUAACGCUUUAGAAUAUGCACAAUUUGGGCCAUUCAAUGCCUAAUUGAAAUGUGUUAAGUAAACCAGGUCUAAUUUUUUAAGUUCUGACCUUGUCUAUCUUUUGGUAUAAUGGGGUUGUCUAUGGAAUUAUCAGUUACAGAAUAGAUAUGCAAAUUCUGUUCUUGGAAUAGAUUAGGUGACAAUGACACAAUGAAAUUGUUGAAUUUUUUCAAUUUGAGAUGUGGCCUGUUGUUCUGACCGAGGAUUUGGACUUGCAUUACUUAUGUACUGUAACUAAAUAACAUAUUUUUAUCAGGGGCUGUCUGCUGGACUACUCA
rnacentral:misc_RNA from 1 species